AGAGUUUGAUCCUGGCUCACAUUGAACGCUGGCGGCAGGCCUAACACAUGCAAGUCGAACGGUAACAGGAAGCAGCUUGCUGCUUCGCUGACGAGUGGCGGACGGGUGAGUAAUGUCUGGGAAACUGCCUGAUGGAGGGGGAUAACUACUGGAAACGGUAGCUAAUACCGCAUAACGUCGCAAGACCAAAGAGGGGGACCUUAGGGCCUCUUGCCAUCGGAUGUGCCCAGAUGGGAUUAGCUAGUAGGUGGAGUAACGGCUCACCUAGGCGACGAUCCCUAGCUGGUCUGAGAGGAUGACCAGCCACACUGGAACUGAGACACGGUCCAGACUCCUACGGGAGGCAGCAGUGGGGAAUAUUGCACAAUGGGCGCAAGCCUGAUGCAGCCAUGCCGCGUGUAUGAAGAAGGCCUUCGGGUUGUAAAGUACUUUCAGCGGGGAGGAAGGGAGUAAAGUUAAUACCUUUGCUCAUUGACGUUACCCGCAGAAGAAGCACCGGCUAACUCCGUGCCAGCAGCCGCGGUAAA
rnacentral:rRNA from 1 species